rnacentral:rRNA from 1 species
UGGGGAAUUUUGGACAAUGGGGGCAACCCUGAUCCAGCCAUGCCGCGUGCGGGAAGAAGGCCUUCGGGUUGUAAACCGCUUUUAGCCGGGAAAAAAAGGCAACUCCUAAUAAGGGUUGUUCUUGACGGUACCGGCGGAAUAAGCACCGGCUAACUACGUGCCAGCAGCCGCGGUAAUACGUAGGGUGCGAGCGUUAAUCGGAAUUACUGGGCGUAAAGCGUGCGCAGGCGGUUCGUUAAGUUCGAUGUGAAAGCCCCGGGCUCAACCUGGGAGGUGCAUUGGAAACUGGCGAGCUUGAGUGUGGCAGAGGGGGGUGGAAUUCCGCGUGUAGCAGUGAAAUGCGUAGAGAUGCGGAGGAACACCGAUGGCGAAGGCAGCCCCCUGGGCCAACACUGACGCUCAGGCACGAAAGCGUGGGGAGCAAAC